GCGCCCAUAGCUCAACUGGAUAGAGUACUUGACUACGAAUCAAGCGGUUAGAGGUUCGACUCCUCUUGGACGCA
rnacentral:tRNA from 1 species